rnacentral:lncRNA from 1 species
GGGACACUUAGCUUUUAUAACAUAGCAUCAGAAACAACCAGAACUUUUUCCAACUCAUAGUAAUUACUCAUUUGAAAAGUAAAGUAAUUUAGAGUAAUGAAAAGGAGAUUAAAGGUUAAAACAAAAGUCAAAAGAGAUGGGUUUGGCAUCCAUAGAAGGCUCCUCAGGCUACAGGGUCCUUUGGGUGAGACUGUUAGCUGUGAGAAUACAAAUGGCAAAGAGUUUCUCUGUCUGUUUCCUUUCCCUCAGUCUCUCCCUCCCAGGAGAUACUGGGUUUGGUGUGCCUUUAUGUGACUACACCUCUCUCUAUACAUUUCCUAGAAAUUAAUUAUUUUUGACCCCACAGUUAGGAGAAGGUUGGCUAUGAAGGCAGAGUGGGACCUUCUUCACUGCAGUCCUCCUACAACUUGGACCAGAGGAUUCCAUCUUCGCUGUUACAGUAUCCAUCUCCACAAGUGUCAAUUUUCUUUCGAGAUGGGUGCUAAGAUAUAAACUGUCUGGCCCUUCAUCCCUGGAGCCAGGAGUCUAAGGAACAAAUCCUCUAACAAUGUGAACAAAAACCAGCUCCUCCUUUAAGAGGUAGGUGUCAGGGAUUGUGUCUGGCAAUGGAAAAGUUAAUACAAAACGCAAGGAAAAAGUGAACUGAAACCAAGCAGAAUGAAGGAAAUACUGAAGAUUAGUUUGGAGAAAAAUGAAGUACAAAAAAAGAUGAGCAGUAGAAAAAGUAAAAGAAGAAUUUGGUUUUCUGAAGUGGUCAACAAAACUAACAAACUUUUAGCUAGAGUGCCCAUGAUGGAAUGAGAGAAGCCACAAAUUACUAAAAUAAGAAUGAAAUAAGAGGUUCAUUACUGACCAAAAAUGAGUACUUUUCAUGAUAUAAGCAUGGAUUAUUAGCAACUACAUGUG